UACGUAGGGUGCGAGCGUUGUCCGGAUUUAUUGGGCGUAAAGAGCUCGUAGGCGGUUUGUCGCGUCGGUUGUGAAAACCCAAGGCUCAACCUUGGGCCUGCAAUCGAUACGGGCAGACUAGAGUACUGCAGGGGAGACUGGAAUUCCUGGUGUAGCGGUGGAAUGCGCAGAUAUCAGGAGGAACACCGGUGGCGAAGGCGGGUCUCUGGGCAGUAACUGACGCUGGAGGAGCGAAAGCGUGGGGAGCGAACAGG
rnacentral:rRNA from 1 species